CAGUCGCCGCGGUAAUACGUAGGUGGCAAGCGUUGUCCGGAAUUAUUGGGCGUAAAGGGCUCGCAGGCGGUUUCUUAAGUCUGAUGUGAAGGCCCCCGGCUCAACCGGGGAGGGUCAUUGGAAACUGGGAAACUUGAGUGCAAGAGGGGAGAGUGGAAUUCCAUGUGUAGCGGUGAAAUGCGUAGAUAUAUGGAGGAACACCGGUGGCGAAGGCGGCUCUCUGGCUUGUAACUGACGCUGAGGCUCGAAAGCGUGGGGCGCAAACAGGAUUAGAUACCCCAGUAGUCCCUGUCUCUUAUAC
rnacentral:rRNA from 1 species